rnacentral:rRNA from 1 species
CAGCCGCCACGGUAAUACGGAGGGGGCUAGCGUUGUUCGGAAUUACUGGGCGUAAAGCGUACGUAGGCGGCUUUGUAAGUUAGAGGUGAAAGCCCGGAGCUCAACUCCGGAAUUGCCUUUAAGACUGCAUCGCUUGAAUCGUGGAGAGGUGAGUGGAAUUCCGAGUGUAGAGGUAAAAUUCGUAGAUAUUCGGAAGAACACCAGUGGCGAAGGCGGCUCACUGGACACGUAUUGACGCUGAGGUACGAAAGCGUGGGGAGCAAACAGGAUUAGAUACCCCAGUAGUCCCUGUCUCUUAUAC